rnacentral:lncRNA from 1 species
CACAAGGAGGAGCAGACAGCGAUCGUCCAGAAGGAUCCAGUUCUUCCCACAAGUAGUUAACAGUCAUUGUGGGUUUCCUCUGGGCCUGGCCUUUAGGCUUCUGGCAUCUUCCAAGCCUCCCAUCGGGGAGCCCACCUCUGGGAGCCCCGCCCCCAGCAACUCUCCGGCCCCGCGUGCAGUACCGUCCCCCACCGGCAGAGGCACUGCGCGCCGGCGGCCCCACGUUCCCACAGCUCCUGGAAAACUAGGGCCCAGGGGGUUUAAGCCGCCUCCCCUCCCAGCUUCCUGGUCUGAGGGGUCUCAGGGCGGCGACCUCCCACUGAAGACAUCCCCUGCCCCGGCCUCCUCGGGGUCUUCUCCGAGGCAGCAGCAGCAGCCGCGCCUACGUCUCUGUCCUCCCUGCCUUGCACAAAGCGCUUGCUUGGGCUGGCCGCGGAAUGCCCAGGGACGCGCGUCUCUUCCCAGAGUUCCUGCUUCCCGGGCCAGUCAGAGCCGCAGGCAACCGAGGCACACCAAAGACGGGGCUUCUGAGGAUAACCUGGGACUUGCUCUUCGUACCGGCGAGCUGUGUCCCCAGGAGGUGUUCUGGCAGGUGUGCAGGCUGUGGGAGCAGUGCAUGAGGCGUUGAAAGAAGAGGAGGAAGUACCCCGUGCCCGGGCUGCGGCUGAUGGUGGUGGUGUGACAAGUGCCAGUGUUCGUACCAGUUCCAGUUCCAGGGCCUAUGCCGUGGUGAAGCAAGCAUCAGCACCGGAACCAAUCCAGGUGCCACUGCUCAGGGCGAGAGCCACGGCCCAAGGAGUGGUCAGUGGUGGGGCAGUGACAGCGCUGGUUGCAAACUCAAGCCAGUUUCAGGGGCUUCUGCUGCCACCGGGCAAGGCCGAGGCUGAGUCUUCAUUUCGCUUGGUUGUGGGUCGGUAAGGGGCCUGGGAGCAGUGGGCACUGGGGCUCCGAUUUAUGAGGAGUCCAGAGGUAGCGUGGGC